GACGAACGCUGGCGGCGUGCUUAACACAUGCAAGUCGAACGGAAAGGCCCUGCUUUUGUGGGGUGCUCGAGUGGCGAACGGGUGAGUAACACGUGAGUAACCUGCCCUUGACUUUGGGAUAACUUCAGGAAACUGGGGCUAAUAACGGAUAGGAGCUCCUGCUGCACGGUGGGGGUUGGAAAGUUUCGUCGGUUGGGGAUGGACUCGCGGGUUAUCAGCUUGUUGGUGGGGUAGUGGCUUACCAAGGCUUUGACGGGUAGCCGGCCUGAGAGGGUGACCAGCCACAUUGGGGCUGAGGUACGGCCCAGUGUCCUACGGGAGACAGCAGUAGGGAAUAUUGCACAAUGGGCGGAAGCCUGAGGCAGCAACGCCGCGUGCGGGAUGACGUCCUUCGGGUUGUAAACCGCUUUCGCCUAUGACGAUGCGUGAUUGACGGUAAUGGGUAAAGAAGCACCGGCUAACUACGUG
rnacentral:rRNA from 1 species